AGAGUUUGAUCCUGGCUCAGGAUGAACGCUGGCGGCGUGCCUAAUACAUGCAAGUCGAGCGAACAGACGAGGAGCUUGCUCCUCUGACGUUAGCGGCGGACGGGUGAGUAACACGUGGAUAACCUACCUAUAAGACUGGGAUAACUUCGGGAAACCGGAGCUAAUACCGGAUAAUAUAUUGAACCGCAUGGUUCAAUAGUGAAAGACGGUUUUGCUGUCACUUAUAGAUGGAUCCGCGCCGCAUUAGCUAGUUGGUAAGGUAACGGCUUACCAAGGCAACGAUGCGUAGCCGACCUGAGAGGGUGAUCGGCCACACUGGAACUGAGACACGGUCCAGACUCCUACGGGAGGCAGCAGUAGGGAAUCUUCCGCAAUGGGCGAAAGCCUGACGGAGCAACGCCGCGUGAGUGAUGAAGGUCUUCGGAUCGUAAAACUCUGUUAUUAGGGAAGAACAAAUGUGUAAGUAACUAUGCACGUCUUGACGGUACCUAAUCAGAAAGCCACGGCUAACUACGUGCCAGCAGCCGCGGUAAUACGUAGGUGGCAAGCGUUAUCCGGAAUUAUUGGGCGUAAAGCGCGCGUAGGCGGUUUUUUAAGUCUGAUGUGAAAGCCCACGGCUCAACCGUGGAGGGUCAUUGGAAACUGGAAAACUUGAGUGCAGAAGAGGAAAGUGGAAUUCCAUGUGUAGCGGUGAAAUGCGCAGAGAUAUGGAGGAACACCAGUGGCGAAGGCGACUUUCUGGUCUGUAACUGACGCUGAUGUGCGAAAGCGUGGGGAUCAAACAGGAUUAGAUACCCUGGUAGUCCACGCCGUAAACGAUGAGUGCUAAGUGUUAGGGGGUUUCCGCCCCUUAGUGCUGCAGCUAACGCAUUAAGCACUCCGCCUGGGGAGUACGACCGCAAGGUUGAAACUCAAAGGAAUUGACGGGGGCCCGCACAAGCGGUGGAGCAUGUGGUUUAA
rnacentral:rRNA from 1 species